GACGAACGCUGGCGGCGUGCUUAACACAUGCAAGUCGAACGGAAAGGCCCUGCUUUUGUGGGGUGCUCGAGUGGCGAACGGGUGAGUAACACGUGAGUAACCUGCCCUUGACUUUGGGAUAACUUCAGGAAACUGGGGCUAAUACCGGAUAGGAGCUCCUGCUGCAUGGUGGGGGUUGGAAAGUUUCGGCGGUUGGGGAUGGACUCGCGGCUUAUCAGCUUGUUGGUGGGGUAGUGGUUUACCAAGGCUUUGACGGGUAGCCGGCCUGAGAGGGUGACCAGCCACAUUGGGACUGAGAUACGGCCCAGACUCCUACGGGAGGCAGCAGUGGGGAAUAUUGCACAAUGGGCGGAAGCCUGAGGCAGCAACGCCGCGUGCGGGAUGACGGCCUUCGGGUUGUAAACCGCUUUCGCCUGUGACGAAGCGUGAGUGACGGUAAUGGGUAAAGAAGCACCGGCUAACUACGUG
rnacentral:rRNA from 1 species